CGAGCCGGUCGGACGGCCGCGUCGUCGGUGGCCCGGGAAACCGGGAGCGUCGGCGCCGAGGAACGUCCGGGCUCCACAGGGCAGGGUGGUGGCUAACGGCCACCCGGGGUGACCCGCGGGAAAGUGCCACAGAAAACAGACCGCCGACGCCGGGUGACCGGCGGCGGUAAGGGUGAAACGGCGGUGUAAGAGACCACCAGCGCCUCUGGUGACAGGGGCGGCUCGGCAAACCCCACCCGGAGCAAGGUCAGACAGGGAGUGUUCGAGGGCUGCCCGCCCGAGCUCCCGGGUAGACCGCUCGAGCCCAGCGGCAACGCUGGGCCUAGAUGGAUGGCCGUCGCCCGCGCAGGGGUGACCUUGUGCGGGAAACAGAACCCGGCGUAUGGGCCGGCUCGUCCG
rnacentral:RNase_P_RNA from 1 species